AAAUAUGUAACAUUUAAUCAAAUUUCUUCUUUUCACAUAAAAGUGUAAUAAUUUUUUAAAUAAUUAUUAUGUCAACCAUCAGUAAAUCCAAAGGACACAAUCUGAUUGAAUUGAAAUAUAAAUGAUGUGGUGCAAUCAUAUUUCUGCAAAAUAGAAAAAAUAUUUCUUAUAUCCUAGUUUUUCUUAAUAUUAUUGAUGCAUAAGCACACAAUUAAAAUUACAAAAAUAAAUUGACACUCGAGGGAUACAUAUUCUUCUUUUGUACUGAAAGCAUCUAAAGAAGUGGGCCGAUUUUUAUAGAGCUGGAUGAUAUCGGUGUUUGCUAUAUCCUUCAAUUUGACGUUUGUUUCUGUUUGUACUAUACUUUUUUCUUUUUAGUUCUUUUAUUCUUUGAUUUUUCGUAUUUUUGGAGGUCUUAGCUGUUUCACUUUAUAUAGUUAAAUUCAUUUAACUAAUGAAUGAAGAGGGUAGCGUGCUAUUUUUCUCUCUAAAAGAAAAAAAUACCUACAUACAUUCCUUUAUUUUUAUUUGGGCCCACAAAAACUAA
rnacentral:lncRNA from 1 species